UACGUAGGUGGUAAGCGUUGUCCGGAUUUAUUGGGUUUAAAGGGUGGACGUAGGCGGUCCUAUAAGUCAGUUGUGAAAUACGGCAGCUUAACUGUCGAGGUGCAAUUGAUACUGCAGGACUUGAGUACAGACGAGGUAGGCGGAAUUGACGGUGUAGCGGUGAAAUGACUUAGAUAUCGUCAAGAACACCGAUAGCGAAGGCAGCUUACUAGACUGUAACUGACGCUGAGGCACGAAAGUGUGGGGAUCAAACAGG
rnacentral:rRNA from 1 species